rnacentral:rRNA from 1 species
UACGUAGGGUGCGAGCGUUGUCCGGAAUUAAUGGGCGUAAAGGGCUCGUAGGUGGUUUGUCGCGUCGUCUGUGAAAUUCUGGGGCUUAACUCCGGGCGUGCAGGCGAUACGGGCAUAACUUGAGUGCUGUAGGGGUAACUGGAAUUCCUGGUGUAGCGGUGAAAUGCGCAGAUAUCAGGAGGAACACCGAUGGCGAAGGCAGGUUACUGGGCAGUUACUGACGCUGAGGAGCGAAAGCAUGGGGAUCAAACAGGAUUAGAUACCCUGGUAGUCCACGCCGUAAACGAUGAGUGCUAAGUGUUAGGGGGUUUCCGCCCCUUAGUGCUGCAGCUAACGCAUUAAGCACUCCGCCUGGGGAGUACGACCGCAA